rnacentral:rRNA from 1 species
AUUAAACGCUGGCGGCAUGCCUUACACAUGCAAGUCGAACGGUAGCGCGGGGCAACCUGGCGACGAGUGGCGAACGGGUGAGUAAAGCAUCGGAACGUGCCCUGGAAUGGGGGAUAACGUAGCGAAAGUUACGCUAAUACCGCAUAUUCUGUGAGCAGGAAAGCAGGGGAUCGCAAGACCUUGCGUUCUGGGAGCGGCCGAUGUCGGAUUAGCUAGUUGGUGGGUAAAAGCCUACCAAGGCGACGAUCCGUAGCGGGUCUGAGAGGAUGAUCCGCCACACUGGGACUGAGACACGGCCCAGACUCCUACGGGAGGCAGCAGUGGGGAAUUUUGGACAAUGGGCGGAAGCCUGAUCCAGCCAUGCCGCGUGA